UACGUAGGGGGCAAGCGUUGUUCGGAAUUACUGGGCGUAAAGGGCGCGUAGGCGGCACGGCAAGUCGGGAGUGAAAGCCCGGGGCUCAACCCCCGGAACGUUUUUCGAAACUGCCGAGCUAGAGUGCGGAAGGGGCAACUGGAAUUCCCAGUGUAGCGGUGAAAUGCGUAGAUAUUGGGAAGAACACCUGAGGCGAAGGCGGGUUGCUGGGCCGACACUGACGCUGAGGCGCGAAAGCCAGGGGAGCGAAC
rnacentral:rRNA from 1 species